rnacentral:rRNA from 1 species
GACGAGCCGUGCGAACGUUGUUCGGAAUCACUGGGCUUAAAGGGCGCGUAGGCGGAUCAUCAAGUCCGGGGUGAAAUCUUUCGGCUUAACCGGAAAAUAGCCUUGGAUACUGGUGGUCUCGAGUGAGGUAGGGGCCGUUGGAACUUCCGGUGGAGCGGUGAAAUGCGUUGAUAUCGGAAGGAACGCCGGUGGCGAAAGCGAACGGCUGGACCUCUUCUGACGCUGAGGCGCGAAAGCCAGGGGAGCAAACGGG